rnacentral:lncRNA from 1 species
UCCCUAGGAAUACUUUGAUGUGACCCAGUGUGUGUUUUCCUUUGAGAUCACCGCAGAGAAGUUGCAAGUGGCAUCACUGCCUCGUACUGGAGAAGCACGUGUGGAUGGGACCACUACAGACCCAGAUGAGAUGGAGCUCUGUUCAGCUUUGGGACAGAAGGUUAAGUAUUAGGUAUUGAUGUCUGCUUCCUGCCUUCCAAAGAUGAGAAAUUGGCUUCUACGACCACAAUGAACAGUGAAGUUGACUUGUGUUCUUCAGUUACUAAGAAAGGUAUUUUUCUGAGCUGACUCUUGUGCGACUUCUAAGUUGUUUCUGGCACUGCUGCUGAGAUUCUCAGAGCUGAUGGGGAGCAGAGUACUCAGCUCCAGGUCCAUAACCAUCUGGCAAG